AGAUCAGUCUUUACACAACCUAAAAUAAAAACUAAGAUAACGUGUGUCAGUGUAGGUAGUGAUGAAUGUACAACAGAAAACAAGAACAGUCAUAACACUAUCUAAAAUAUAAA